rnacentral:rRNA from 1 species
GAUGAACGCUGGCGGUAUGCCUAACACAUGCAAGUCGAACGGAGUUCUUCGGAACUUAGUGGCGGACGGGUGAGUAACACGUGAGAACCUACCUUCAGAAUGGGGACAACAGUUGGAAACGACUGCUAAUACCCAAUGUGCCGAAAGGGGAAAGAUUUAUCGUCUGAAGAUGGGCUCGCGUCUGAUUAGCUAGACGGGGGGGUAAGAGCCUACCAUGGCAACGAUCAGUAGCUGGUCUGAGAGGAUGAGCAGCCACACUGGGACUGAGACACGGCCCAGACUCCUACGGGAGGCAGCAGGGGGGAAUUUUCCGCAAUGGGCGAAAGCCUGACGGAGCAAUACCGCGUGAGGGAGGAAGGUCCUUGGAUUGUAAACCUCUUUUAUCAGGGAAGAAGUUCUGACGGUACCUGAUGAAUAAGCAUCGGCUAACUCCGUGCCAGCAGCCGCGGUAAUACGGAGGAUGCAAGCGUUAUCCGGAAUUAUUGGGCGUAAAGCGUCCGUAGGUGGUUAUGCAAGUCUGCCGUUAAAGAAUGGAGCUUAACUCCAUAGGAGCGGUGGAAACUGCAAGACUACAGUACAGUAUGGGUAGCAGGAAUUCCCAGUGUAGCGGUGAAAUGCGUACAUAUUGGGAAGAACAUCGGUGGCGAAAGCGUGCUACUGGGCUGAAACUGACACUGAGGGACGAAAGCUAGGGUAGCGAAAGGGAUUACAUACCCCUGUAGUCCUAGCCGUAAACGAUGGAUACU